rnacentral:ncRNA from 1 species
AUAUUGGCAAUGAAGAGAACUAGUAAGUAUAGAAUUUCUAUUACAGAGAGGUCCUGGUUGGUGAAAAGGACUUUAGAAGCUUUACUGAACACAUCUCAGAGCCUAGCACCGAACCCUAUAAAGUAGUAGGCUGCUACGGAUUUGCACCCGAUAUCGUGCUAGAGUAUACAAUUGGUACUCGAUAAGAUUAAUAUUGUGAGAUAUUAAUGAAAAAAGGUGGGAACACGGGAGAUUCUCUCGUCCUUUAG